ACGGAAGGCAGCAGUGGGGAAUAUUGCACAAUGGGGGAAACCCUGAUGCAGCAACGCCGCGUGAGUGAAGAAGUAUUUCGGUAUGUAAAGCUCUAUCAGCAGGGAAGAUAAUGACGGUACCUGACUAAGAAGCUCCGGCUAAAUACGUGCCAGCAGCCGCGGUAAUACGUAUGGAGCAAGCGUUAUCCGGAUUUACUGGGUGUAAAGGGUGCGUAGGUGGCAGUGCAAGUCAGAUGUGAAAGGCCGGGGCUCAACCCCGGAGCUGCAUUUGAAACUGCUCGGCUAGAGUACAGGAGAGGCAGGCGGAAUUCCUAGUGUAGCGGUGAAAUGCGUAGAUAUUAGGAGGAACACCAGUGGCGAAGGCGGCCUGCUGGACUGUUACUGACACUGAGGCACGAAAGCGUGGGGAGCAAACAGGAUUAGAUACCCUGGUA
rnacentral:rRNA from 1 species